UUAAUUAUAUUUUUAUACACAGUCAAGAUCUUCAUGAUGUAUAUAAUCUUUAGAGCGUAUUUUCAAGUCCGUGACAAAAUUAUCUUUUUAAAAAAGAAUGCCAAGUAUACAUGCAUACACUGAUGUAAUGUUUUAUAUUUUACUGCCAUUGAACUUGUCUGCCAUCAAAUUGUUAAUAUAUAAUUUUACGUAAAUCUUGGUAAAAUUUAAUCAAAAUCUCUAUAGAUAUAGGUACACAUAAUUUGCAGGAACAUAAUUGUAUAUAAGAACUUUGGUUACUUUUCAAAAAUAGUGAUAAAUUAUAAUACAAUUAUAAAACUUGGGCAAGCCAAGGAUAUUUUGAAAUGAAAGAAAAGAGAAAGAUGUAGUAAAAAUAUAGCAAACCACAGAAUAAACAUAGUAAAACGCAAUAUUUUAUUACAUUGUUACAAACUACAUUUUUCCUCCUGUUUGCAGGAAUAUUAUUUUUUUCGUUUUUCUGAUUUUAAUUUAAUUAUCUGGCUAUGAAAAGAAGAAAAUGUAUAUUCUCUGAUCGAUCAGAAAGAAAAGAUAAUGCAUACAAUUUUAGAAAUCUAUUGAAAUACUAAAUGUUCUCUCUCUUAUUCGAUUUUAUAUUGUGUGAACUUAGACACAUAGAAUUUUCUAUCGAUAUUUAUACAUAUUCAUUAUCGUGUGAUAUAGGAAUCGGAAAUAUGAUAUGCAAGUGUUACUUAAGCUAAUUUUGACGUACAAUAUUUACUUUGGAUGCAUAAUUUAUGAAGUAUUAAACUUUCCGAAAUCCUGCACCGGCAAAGCAUUUGCGAUUAGUGUGGCAAAUAAAUAUGAGCACGACAUAACUGUAUCGAUUGCCGAUUCAAAUAAUGAAUUCAAAAGGUAAAGUUGUCACAUUUGCUCAAAGAGUCAUUAUUCACGUACAAACUGUUUUGCGUCCUACUUCUUAUCAUAAUACAAAUCUGUCAAUCUGUUUAUUUCUUCAUAAUUGCGACAAUGCGAGAAUUGCAAGGAUCAUUUUGCGUACCGCGAGAAAUAAGUUUCUUCGUCGCUCUAUGAGAUAAAGAUGAGCGUUUUCAUUUCUGCGUACAGCAAACAUGCUUGUCGACUCGAUUUACUCAAUAGUUCCAGUAAUGAAAGACGAUAUUAUUCGGACGUUUAUUCGCGAUCGUGCCACCACUUCACUCGACGAUUCACGGCGGACAAACCCAAGGUAGGAAAUAAGACGUUGGCCUCGCUGCAGCGUUGGAAAAGCGCGAUAAGACAUCUCCAGCCGUACUCUCAAAUGGACAGCGAUAUUUAUCGGCGAAAGUUGCUUAGUUACGAGCAAAACUUUUUCGGAACUCGCCCUACAAGAAAUAGCAGGUUUCAUAACGGGAUACGCCGCGAAGUCACCCUGGCAGAAACGUCGGGUUUAACGGAGAGGAAGCGCGGUGCCGCGGCAAAGGAUAUUGAGACGAACGACGAAGAUAUAGAUUCGGCGGCGUGGGACAAUUGGAGUAUCUGGAGCGCGUGCAGUGUAACUUGCGGGCAAGGACGACAGGUCCGUUGGCGUCAUUGCACGUCCACGGAUUGCAUCGCAGGUCUUAAGAAGGCGCAGUUGAGAAGCUGCCGUUACAAAGAUUGCGCUACCAAAGGCUUCCUCGGCUGGCUGGGGAUAAAAUCGUAAUCUGUUUGCAGCUUGCGAAAGAAGGCAAUCGACAAGCCCCCUCGACAUUAUUAUGUCGGAUGGUGCUAAGAGGUAUCGAGAAUGCACAAACAAAGGAAUCGUCUGUGAACUACCAAGAAAAGAGGGCUUCCAUUACAUUUUUCUACGAAAUAAAAAUUGUCUUGAACCAACAACGAAAAUACAAAAUUGUAGACGUUGGCCCGAUAAACACAUGACGGCAAAAUAAUAUAAAAAUGAUAUAAUUAUACUUUUAUAUUAACUGCAUUUAAUAAACGUUUAGUAGCAUUUAAUCUAGUGUACCAUUGUGUGUUUAUUGAGUAGAUAAUUUCUUUAAUGAUAAAUUAUUUCACUUUGUUUUUUAGGAUUGUAUUGUGACGGCAAAAAUUAGAGUUUAAAAAGCAGAUUUGAAAUAUAUAUAUUAUAUAUUCAUACAUUUAAUGUGCGCAAUGACAUAUAACAACAGUAUAUGUAAUAAUUGUUUGUUCAAAACUCAAUAGUUAAUGUGGAUUACUUCAACGUGAAUAUAGGUUUAAUGACGUAGAACAAACUUCGAUGCAAUAGAUAUAUUAUUCUGUAAUCUGUAAUAUUCCACAUGUCAACGACGAUAACAAAAAAUAU